rnacentral:rRNA from 1 species
AUGGCGACGCCGUGGAGAGCGGCGGCGGCGGCUUGGCCGUGGCGCCGUUCAUGGCCAAGACGUACGGGAUGGUGGACGACCCGGCGACGGACGGCGCCGUUGCGUGGGGGGAGCACCGACAACAGCUUCGUCGUCGCCGACGUCCCCGCCUUGUCGCGCGCGCUCCUCCCCGCGCGCUUCGGCCACGCCAAGUUCGCCAGCUUCGUCCGCCAGCUCAACGCCUACGGCUUCCGCAAGGUCCACCCGGACCGGUGGGAGUUCGCCCACGCCUCCUUUACUUCCUCCUGCGCCACGUCGUCCGCCGCCGGAGCCACAAGCUCAAGGACGACGGCGAAGAGGACGACGGAGGCAGAGGCACGACGACACUGCUGGUCAUGGAUCCAGAGGUUGUCUGGCUGA